AUACGGAGGGGGCUAGCGUUGUUCGGAAUUACUGGGCGUAAAGCGCGCGUAGGCGGAUUGUUAAGUCGGGGGUGAAAUCCCGGGGCUCAACCCCGGAACUGCCUCCGAUACUGGCAAUCUCGAGGUCGAGAGAGGUGAGUGGAAUUCCGAGUGUAGAGGUGAAAUUCGUAGAUAUUCGGAGGAACACCAGUGGCGAAGGCGACUUCCUGGGCCAAUACUGACGCUGAGGUGCGAAAGCGUGGGGAGCAAACAGGAUUAGAAACCCCAGUAGUCC
rnacentral:rRNA from 1 species